rnacentral:rRNA from 1 species
UGCUUCUCUUGAGAGCGGCGGACGGGUGAGUAAUGCCUAGGAAUCUGCCUGGUAGUGGGGGAUAACGUUCGGAAACGGACGCUAAUACCGCAUACGUCCUACGGGAGAAAGCAGGGGACCUUCGGGCCUUGCGCUAUCAGAUGAGCCUAGGUCGGAUUAGCUAGUUGGUGAGGUAAUGGCUCACCAAGGCGACGAUCCGUAACUGGUCUGAGAGGAUGAUCAGUCACACUGGAACUGAGACACGGUCCAGACUCCUACGGGAGGCAGCAGUGGGGAAUAUUGGACAAUGGGCGAAAGCCUGAUCCAGCCAUGCCGCGUGUGUGAAGAAGGUCUUCGGAUUGUAAAGCACUUUAAGUUGGGAGGAAGGGCAGUUACCUAAUACGUGAUUGUUUUGACGUUACCGACAGAAUAAGCACCGGCUAACUCUGUGCCAGCAGCCGCGGUAAUACAGAGGGUGCAAGCGUUAAUCGGAAUUACUGGGCGUAAAGCGCGCGUAGGUGGUUUGUUAAGUUGGAUGUGAAAUCCCCGGGCUCAACCUGGGAACUGCAUUCAAAACUGACUGACUAGAGUAUGGUAGAGGGUGGUGGAAUUUCCUGUGUAGCGGUGAAAUGCGUAGAUAUAGGAAGGAACACCAGUGGCGAAGGCGACCACCUGGACUAAUACUGACACUGAGGUGCGAAAGCGUGGGGAGCAAACAGGAUUAGAUACCCUGGUAGUCCACGCCGUAAACGAUGUCAACUAGCCGUUGGAAGCCUUGAGCUUUUAGUGGCGCACCUAACGCAUUAAGUUGACCGCCUGGGGAGUACGGCCGCAAGGUUAAAACUCAAAUGAAAUUGACGGGGGCCCGCACAAGC